AUUGAACGCUGGCGGAAUGCUUUACACAUGCAAGUCGAACGGCAGCACGGACUUCGGUCUGGUGGCGAGUGGCGAGCGGGUGAGUAAUGUAUCGGAACGUGCCCAGUCGUGGGGGAUAACGUAGUGAAAAUUACGCUAAUACCGCAUACGAUCUAUGGAUGAAAGCGGGGGAUCGCAAGACCUCGCGCGAUUGGAGCGGCCGAUAUCAGAUUAGGUAGUUGGUGGGGUAAAGGCCCACCAAGCCAACGAUCUGUAGCUGGUCUGAGAGGACGACCAGCAACACUGGAACGGGGACACGGUCCAGACUCCUACGGGAGGCAGCAGUGGGGAAUUUUGGACAAUGGGCGAAAGCCUGAUCCAGCCAUUCCGCGUGCAGGAUGAAGGCCCUCGGGUUGUAAACUGCUUUUGUACAGAACGAAAAGGUUUCUACUAAUACUAGGAGCUCAUGACGGUACUGUAAGAAUAAGCACCGGCUAACUACGUGCCAGCAGCCGCAGUAA
rnacentral:rRNA from 1 species